AUUUCAAUCCUUUUUCCUAUUUAUUUCUGAGACAACAAACAAAGCACAGAGCAGAGUUUGAGGAAAUAUGAGUUUGGGGUUCAUUGGAAGCUUGGAGCCGAGGAGGGUGCAAAGCCUCAGGUGUACAAUGAAGAGCAUGAGAACAAGGAUCUUCAACGUGUCGCCGCAGCAAGAAACAAAGAUUGGAGAACUGGCUGUCGGAAAAAUAGAACGGCGAUAGAAUCUGUUGCACGUCACGCGCCUAAAAGCAGGAAAAGAUUCU